rnacentral:rRNA from 1 species
CGCUGGCGGCGUGCCUAAUACAUGCAAGUCGAGCGAAUUUCUUGAGAGCUUGCUCUCAGGAAGUUAGCGGCGGACGGGUGAGUAACACGUGGGCAACCUGCCUAUAAGACUGGGAUAACUUCGGGAAACCGGAGCUAAUACCGGAUAAUUCUUAUCUACUCAUGUAGAUAAGCUGAAAGACGGUUUCGGCUGUCACUUAUAGAUGGGCCCGCGGCGCAUUAGCUAGUUGGUGAGGUAACGGCUCACCAAGGCAACGAUGCGUAGCCGACCUGAGAGGGUGAUCGGCCACACUGGGACUGAGACACGGCCCAGACUCCUACGGGAGGCAGCAGUAGGGAAUCUUCCGCAAUGGACGAAAGUCUGACGGAGCAACGCCGCGUGAGUGAUGAAGGUUUUCGGAUCGUAAAACUCUGUUGUUAGGGAAGAACAAGUACGAGACGUAACUCCGCGUCGUGCCUUGACGGUACCUAACCAGAAAGCCACGGCUAACUACGUG